rnacentral:rRNA from 1 species
AACGAACGCUGGCGGCAGGCUUAACACAUGCAAGUCGAGCGCAUCCUUCGGGGUGAGCGGCAGACGGGUGAGUAACGCGUGGGAAUCUACCUUUUGCUACGGAAUAGCUCCGGGAAACUGGAAUUAAUGCCGUAUGUGCCCUUAGGGGGAAAGAUUUAUCGGCAAGAGAUGAGCCCGCGUUGGAUUAGCUAGUUGGUGGGGUAAAGGCCUACCAAGGCGACGAUCCAUAGCUGGUCUGAGAGGAUGAUCAGCCACAUUGGGACUGAGACACGGCCCAAACUCCUACGGGAGGCAGCAGUGGGGAAUAUUGGACAAUGGGCGCAAGCCUGAUCCAGCCAUGCCGCGUGAGUGAUGAAGGCCUUAGGGUUGUAAAGCUCUUUCACCGGAGAAGAUAAUGACGGUAUCCGGAGAAGAAGCCCCGGCUAACUUCGUG